rnacentral:rRNA from 1 species
CGGGGGCGUGCUUAUACAUGCAAGUCGAGCGGACAGAUGGGAGCUUGCUCCCUGAUGUUAGCGGCGGACGGGUGAGUAACACGUGGGUAACCUGCCUGUAAGACUGGGAUAACUCCGGGAAACCGGGGCUAAUACCGGAUGCUUGAUUGAACCGCAUGGUUCAAUUAUAAAAGGUGGCUUUUAGCUACCACUUACAGAUGGACCCGCGGCGCAUUAGCUAGUUGGUGAGGUAACGGCUCACCAAGGCAACGAUGCGUAGCCAACCUGAGAGGGUGAUCGGCCACACUGGGACUGAAACACGGCCCAAACUCCUACGGGAGGCAGCAGUAGGGAAUCUUCCGCAAUGGACGAAAGUCUGACGGAGCAACGCCGCGUGAGUGAUGAAGGUUUUCGGAUCGUAAAACUCUGUUGUUAGGGAAGAACAAGUACCGUUCGAAUAGGGCGGUACCUUGACGGUACCUAACCAGAAAGCCACGGCUAACUACGUGCCAGCAGCCGCGGUAAUACGUAGGUGGCAAGCGUUGUCCGGAAUUAUUGGGCGUAAAGCGCGCGCAGGCGGUUUCUUAAGUCUGAUGUGAAAGCCCCCGGCUCAACCGGGGAGGGUCAUUGGAAACUGGGGAACUUGAGUGCAGAAGAGGAGAGUGGAAUUCCACGUGUAGCGGUGAAAUGCGUAGAGAUGUGGAGGAACACCAGUGGCGAAGGCGACUCUCUGGUCUGUAACUGACGCUGAGGCGCGAAAGCGUGGGGAGCGAACAGGAUUAGAUACCCUGGUAGUCCACGCCGUAAACGAUGAGUGCUAAGUGUUAGAGGGUUUCCGCCCUUUAGUGCUGCAGCAAACGCAUUAAGCACUCCGCCUGGGGAGUACGGUCGCAAGACUGAAACUCAAGGAAUUGACGGGGGCCCGCACAAGCGGUGGAGCAUGUGUUUAAUUCGAAGCACGCGAAGACCUUACCAGGUCUUGACAUCCUCUGACACCCUAGAGAUAGGGCUUCCCCUUCGGGGCAGAGUGACAGUGGUGGCAUGCUUGUCGUCAG